rnacentral:lncRNA from 1 species
AAGAGCAAAAAUGCAUGGGUGUUCAUUUGAUUGUGCAUGAACAUGGUAAGGUUUAAUAGAGUGUACACAUGAUUAUAUAAUUUAAAAAUUCAGCACCAAUCAAAAAUUGACAUGUGGUUAAAUUAUAUUAAAAAAAUAAAAAUAAAAACAAAAAUGAUAGAAAACAAGAGAGAAAAUGAAUGUGCAACAACAUGAAAACACAAGGGCCAAUAACCCCAUUUCACAUAAGCGGUUUUUCAACAUGAAAACCAC